UACGAAGGGGGCUAGCGUUGUUCGGAUUUACUGGGCGUAAAGCGCACGUAGGCGGAUUGUUAAGUCAGGGGUGAAAUCCCGGAGCUCAACUCCGGAACUGCCUUUGAUACUGGCAAUCUUGAGACUGGAAGAGGUUAGUGGAAUUCCCAGUGUAGAGGUGAAAAUUCGUAGAUAUUGGGAAGAACACCAGUGGCGAAGGCGGCUAACUGGUCCAGUACUUGACGCUGAGGUGCGAAAAGCGUGGGGAGCAAAC
rnacentral:rRNA from 1 species